ensembl:snRNA U6 U6 spliceosomal RNA
GUGCUCAUUUCGGCAGCACAUAAACUAAAACUGGAAUGAUUCCGAGAAUAUUAGUGUGGCCCCUUUGCAAGGAUGAUACACAAUUUCCUGAAGCAUUUCGUACUUAA